rnacentral:rRNA from 1 species
UCGGGAAUUUUGGGCAAUGGGCGAAAGCCUGACCCAGCAACGCCGCGUGAAGGAUGAAGUAUUUCGGUAUGUAAACUUCGAAAGAAUAGGAAGAAUAAAUGACGGUACUAUUUAUAAGGUCCGGCUAACUACGCGCCAGCAGCCGCGGUAAUACGUAGGGACCAAGCGUUGUUCGGAUCUACUGGGCGUAAAGGGCGCGUAGGCGGCAAUUCAAGUCAUCUGUGAAAUCUCCGGGCUUAACUCGGAACGGUCAGAUGAUACUGCUUUGCUAGAGUGCAGAAGGGGCAAUCGGAAUUCUUGGUGUAGCGGUGAAAUGCGUAGAUAUCAAGAGGAACACCUGAGGUGAAGACGGGUUGCUGGGCUGACACUGACGCUGAGGCGCGAAAGCCAGGGGAGCAAACGGGAUUAGAUACCCCCGUAGUCCCUGAGCGGGCUGGCAAGGCGCAU